rnacentral:tRNA from 1 species
GGGGUUAUAGUUAAUUAUAACAUUUGAUUUGCAUUCAAAAAGUAUUGAUAAAACAAUUUAUCUCA